GUGAGGAAUAUUGGUCAAUGGGCGAGAGCCUGAACCAGCCAAGUCGCGUGAAGGAAGAAGGAUCUAUGGUUCGUAAACUUCUUUUGCAGGGGAAUAAAGUGCAGGACGUGUCCUGUUUUGUAUGUACCCUGAGAAUAAGGAUCGGCUAACUCCGUGCCAGCAGCCGCGGUAAUACGGAGGAUCCGAGCGUUAUCCGGAUUUAUUGGGUUUAAAGGGUGCGUAGGUGGUUUGAUAAGUCAGCGGUGAAAGUUUGCAGCUUAACUGUAGAAAUGCCGUUGAAACUGUCGGACUUGAGUGUAAAUGAGGUAGGCGGAAUGCGUGGUGUAGCGGUGAAAUGCAUAGAUAUCACGCAGAACUACGAUUGCGAAGGCAGCUUACUAAGCUACAACUGACACUGAAGCACGAAAGCGUGGGGAUCAAACAGGAUUAGAAACCCUGGUAGUCC
rnacentral:rRNA from 1 species